GAAAGUGAUGAGAAGUUUUGUCGCCCCAGUCUUACAAGCAUCAUCCAAUUUUUGAUGCUUGAUGGUGAUUGACUCUCUUUCUGAUUC
rnacentral:snoRNA from 3 species